rnacentral:rRNA from 1 species
UGGUGGAGCGAUUUGUCUGGUUAAUUCCGUUAACGAACGAGACCUCGACCUGCUAAAUAGCUCGUCGCACCUUUCGGGGUGCGCUCGCGGCUUCUUAGAGGAACAGCCGGUGCUUAGCCGGAGGAAGUUCGAGGCAAUAACA